rnacentral:rRNA from 1 species
UGAGGAAUAUUGGUCAAUGGGCGGGAGCCUGAACCAGCCAAGCCGCGUGAAGGAAGAAGGCGCUAAGCGUCGUAAACUUCUUUGUCGGGAACAAAGGUCCGGACGUGUCCGGAUGAGAGUGUACCCGAAGAAAAAGCAUCGGCUAACUCCGUGCCAGCAGCCGCGGUAAUACGGAGGAUGCGAGCGUUAUCCGGAUUUAUUGGGUUUAAAGGGUGCGUAGGCGGUCUGUUAAGUCAGCGGUAAAAGCCCGGGGCUCAACCCCGGCCGAGCAGUCGUAAGCAUGGCGGACUAGAGAGGGCGAGAAGUACGCGGAAUGCGCAGUGUAGCGGUGAAAUGCAUAGAUAUUGCGCAGAACUCCGAUUGCGAAGGCAGCGUACCGGCGCCUUUCUGACGCUGAGGCACGAAAGCGUGGGUAUCGAACAGGAUUAGAUACC